AUACCGUGGUAGUCCACGCCCUAAACGAUGUCAACUAGCUGUUGGGGCCGUUAGGCCUUAGUAGCGCAGCUAACGCGUGAAGUUGACCGCCUGGGGAGUACGGUCGCAAGAUUAAAACUCAAAGGAAUUGACGGGGACCCGCACAAGCGGUGGAUGAUGUGGAUUAAUUCGAUGCAACGCGAAAAACCUUACCUACGCUUGACAUGUCUGGAAUCCUGAAGAGAUUUAGGAGUGCCCGCAAGGGAACCGGAACACAGGUGCUGCAUGGCUGUCGUCAGCUCGUGUCGUGAGAUGUUGGGUUAAGUCCCGCAACGAGCGCAACCCUUGUCACUAGUUGCUACGCAAGAGCACUCUAGUGAGACUGCCGGUGACAAACCGGAGGAAGGUGGGGAUGACGUCAAGUCCUCAUGGCCCUUAUGUGUAGGGCUUCACACGUCAUACAAUGGUCGGGACAGAGGGUCGCCAACCCGCGAGGGGGAGCUAAUCUCAUAAACCCGAUCGUAGUCCGGAUCGCAGUCUGCAACUCGACUGCGUGAAGUCGGAAUCGCUAGUAAUCGCGGAUCAGAAUGCCGCGGUGAAUACGUUCCCGGGUCUUGUACACACCGCCCGUCACACCAUGGAAGUGGGUUUCACCAGAAGUAGUUAGCCUAACCGCAAGGAGGGCGAUACACGU
rnacentral:rRNA from 1 species